rnacentral:rRNA from 1 species
AGAAUGAACGUUGGCGGCGUGGAUUAGGCAUGCAAGUCGGGGGAAUCCCGCAAGGGGGAACCGGCGUAAGGGGCAGUAAGGCAUGGGUACCUACCUUUGGGUUCGGGAUAGCCAUCAGAGAUGGUGGGUAAUACCGGAUGACGUCGUGAGACCAAAGAUUUAUCGCCCAUUGAGGGGCCCAUGUGAUAUUAGCUUGUUGGUGAGGUAACGGCUCACCAAGGCGAAGAUGUCUAGCGGGUGUGAGAGCACGACCCGCGCCACUCGCACUGAGACACUGGCGAGACACCUACGGGUGGCUGCAGUCGAGGAUCUCGGCAAGUGGGCGCAAGCCUAGACCGAGCGACGCCGCGUGUGCGAUGGAAGGCCGUUCGGUUAGUAAAGCUACGUUUAAGGUAGGGGGGAAGAAAAGACCGGAAAGGUGUGUAUACUA